rnacentral:rRNA from 1 species
AUGGAUAGGGAGAGGCGGUCGCGAGAGGAGUGGUCGCCAUUAGCGCGAGAAGGUCUUGCACUCUCGCCACUGAUCCACUGUCCACCGUAUCGCACACAUUUAUCGUCGCACAAAGGGCGCUCGCUCGCGCAUGCCACGUCGGAAGAGGCGGACUGUGCAGCGCAGCCAAUGGGGAGUGAUGACACUAUUUUGUCGAUCAAUAUUUUUGGCUGGGCGCAGCAAAGGAGGCCACAUACACGCGGCCCAGCCCAGCACUCCAUGCUCUCUCCAUCCCCAUACGCAACCUCUCCUCUUCUCGUUUCCCCUCUGCCUCACCGCCGCCACUGCUUCCUCUUCACCCCCUGCAUCCUCUCCCCUCCGUUGGUGCGGCCACACGAAAAACGGCGGCGAUGA